CACUGAUGUUGAUGAUAAAUACUGCUGUCAUCUCAACCAGAUCACAUUCACUGCUUCAUCAUGGACUUCGAUCUGUGCUCAGGUAAAUGAUAUUCCAGUAAACACACACUGGUUGAUUUCUAAGAGAAACUAACAGUUUUAUUCCUGUUUUGGAGCAGCUGUUGGAGAUGAUGAGGUGAAGAAGCAGGAGGGCAACGAGGUGGAGGGCAUCUUUGGGUUUGGAAAAAAAGAUAAAGACAAAGAAGAAAAAGAUAAAGAGUGUAAGGACAAAGACAAAGGUAGUGACAAGCCAAAGAGUGAUUGCAAAGAAGAGGAUAAAGACAAGGACGAGUGCAAAGACAAAGAGAAGGACAAGUGCAAAGACAAAGAGAAGGACAAGUGCAAAGACAAAGAGAAGGACAAGUGCAAAGACAAAGAGAAGGACAAGUGCAAAGACAAAGAGAAGGACAAGUGCAAAGACAAAGAGAAGGACAAGUGCAAAGACAAAGAGAAGGACAAGUGCAAAGACAAAGAGAAGGACAAGUGCAAAGACAAAGAGAAGGACAAGUGCAAAGACAAGGAAAAGAAGAAGGAUAAAGAGCACAAAAAGGGGCACGGUCAUGGACACGGACAUGGUCAUGGUCGGGGACGUGGACGCGGACACGGACACAGGUCAUCCUCUUCAUCCAGUGAUGAGGACUAAAGCUGAAGACAUAAGAGGGCCGGGGCAAGUUGUCACACAGGGAAAAUGUCCUAAGGGAUUUAUUUUUAUAGCAACUGUGAGGUUUUGAGUCAAAAAAUCCAAUUGCACAAAUGCUUGUUUUCUAGCAGUGGUUUUAUAUGUUGUUUCAAACACCUAGUUGCAACAUUUGUAUUAAAUUAGGAUAAUAUUUUUGGAAUUGUGUCCUACAAACUAAAAUUUCAGUACUAUUAUCUUUUUAUAAAUUGGUCUGAGCUGUUACAUGAGUUUUGUGAUGUACUGCAUAUAAAGUAUCUAUGAAAAUCUCCUGUUAUUUUUUGUAACAUUUAAAUUUUUUUGCUGUUUGUUUUACUGUUAAAGACAUUAUAUAGCCUCUAAUACAUAAUAAUAAUGUUAAUAAUGUUUGUUUUCUCAAAACAAUUCCCAUUCUUAUGAUUUAUCCCAUAUAUAGUGACAACAUGGCCCACUAAACAUAAGUCAACAUAAUGAACUGUAGCCUAUAUUUAUACUGGAUAAUAAUGAUAGAUAUGUCCAAUAGUUGUUUCAGGGUGGUGACUAUUGAAAAAGUGACAUAAGUGACUUUUCAAAAUAAACUUAAUGUGAGAAAUUAAUUGGUAUAAAAAGUUGUCCUAGACUCCUUUAUUUACAC
ensembl:lncRNA splicing regulatory glutamine/lysine-rich protein 1-like